rnacentral:rRNA from 1 species
GCAAGUCGAGACGGGCGUAGGCAAGUACGUCGAGUGGCGGACGGGUCGAGGUAACGGCGUGGGGACCCGUGCCGUCGAACGUUCGGAUAACCGCGGGAAACUAGCGGCGUAAUACCGGAUGUGGCCGUGAGGGCCAAGGGGAAACGUACGACUUCGANAGGGGCCCGCGUUCGAUUAGCUAGUUGGUGAGGUUAACGGCUCACCAAGGCGACGAUCGAUAGCUGGUCUGAGAGGAUGAUCAGCCACACUGGGACUGAGACACGGCCCAGACUCCUACGGGAGGCAGCAGUGGGGAAUAUUGGACAAUGGGGGCAACCCUGAUCCAGCAAUGCCGCGUGAGUGAUGAAGGCCUUCGGGUUGUAAAGCUCUUUUGGCGGGGACGAUGAUGACGGUACCCGCAGAAUAAGCCCCGGCUAACUUCGUGCCAGCCGCCGCGGUAAUUC